CGUGUCUCUGAUCCAUGUUAAAGAUGUGAGAACGGGUUCACUGAUCAUCUGUAGUCGAUAUGAAACGAUGGUUAACCAACAUGAUGUGUUAGGGAGCUGUUGCCAUGGUAACAUGUUCAACCUGUGCGUCUUCAGAUGCAGGUCGGCGCGGUUCGGCCCAGACCUCCUGGACUCUGCUGCCCCCGCUGUCUCGGAGGAGAACCGGGUCACAUCAACCACAUCAUGGGCCUCUGAGGAGGAGAUCAGGAAGAGGAGGAGCUAAUGAGGAGGAAGAGGAGGGGCUAAUUGAUGAGGAGCCCUCGAUCCCUUCCUGGACCUCUCCUAAAAUAAAGUGUGGAAUCCGUCCAGACUGACAGCAGCGUCCCAUGAGCACAUUUCUGCUUCAGGUGUUCACUCCUACUCGAUGACAUCAUCAUGACAUCACAAACACUGAAAGGACCAAUCAGGUGCUUUGUUGUCAGAUCACUGGUCACUUUAACUGAGCAUGAUCAUGUGUACAUUCCCCCGAGAGUUCGAUCACGUCCAAAGAUUUUCAUCUGGAGGUCCAAACCGUUCUUCUUCUUCUUCUUCUUCAGCACUUUCACACAUUUAAUCGUUAUCAUGUGAUCGAAACGCCGACUUUGCGUAACUUUAAUUUCCUGUAGCAUAUCUGUCUCGAUGGUGUGUUUAAGGACACUCCGACAUCAGAGUUUCACACUUAGAAUGAGCACACGCCGUCUCUUCGAUCUGAUGGCUGAAGUUAACCUCCCAUGAAGCUGAUUUUAACGAAGUCUCAAGAGAAAAUAUAAAUAAUCAAACCGCCGCUGCAUGAUGUGUUCACUGUCGCCUGCUCUCAGUACUCAGAUGUCCAGGUGAACUUUAACGCACCAUCGUGUUACGUUUCAGGAAUCAGCAGGAAUGUGUUAAAAAUCUGAAAACAGUGUGAAACUGUUUAAACAGUGAGACAUGAGUGUAAGCCCCGCCCCCAAUGUGACAUCUGAUUGGUCGACACGUUGAAAGGUGAGGACACCUGAAGCUGUGUUUAUGAAAUGUCCAGCGUUCAGUGAACUCAUCAGUUUAUUAGAUGUGUGUACUUUCAUAUCAGCUGAGAUGAUUAAUCUAUAA